rnacentral:rRNA from 1 species
UACGAAGGGGGCUAGCGUUAAUCGGAAUUACUGGGCGUAAAGCGCGCGUAGGCGGCUUGUUAAGUCGGAUGUGAAAUCCCUGGGCUCAACCUAGGCAUUGCAUUCGAUACUGGCAAGCUAGAGUAUGGGAGAGGAAGGUAGAAUUCCAGGUGUAGCGGUGAAAUGCGUAGAGAUCUGGAGGAAUACCGAUGGCGAAGGCAGCCUUCUGGCCUAAUACUGACGCUGAGGUGCGAGAGCAUGGGGAGCAAACAGG